rnacentral:rRNA from 1 species
UACGAGGGGGGCGAGCGUUGUUCGGAAUUAUUGGGCGUAAAGGGUGCGUAGGCGGUUCCGCAAGUCCUGUGUGAAAUCUUCGGGCUCAACUCGAAGUCUGCACGGGAAACUGCGGGGCUUGAGUGUGGGAGAGGUGAGUGGAAUUCCCGGUGUAGCGGUGAAAUGCGUAGAUAUUGGGAAGAACACCGGUGGCGAAGGCGGCUCUCUGGCCCGCAACUGACGCUGAGGCGCGAAAGCGUGGGGAGCAAACAGG